rnacentral:rRNA from 1 species
UACCCGCUGAACUUAAGCAUAUCAAUAAGCGGAGGAAAAGAAACCAACAGGGAUUGCCCUAGUAACGGCGAGUGAAGCGGCAACAGCUCAAAUUUGAAAUCUGGCUUCGGCCCGAGUUGUAAUUUGCAGAGGAUGUUUCUGGCGCGGUGCCUUCCGAGUUCCCUGGAACGGGACGCCACAGAGGGUGAGAGCCCCGUAUGGUUGGACACCAAGCCUGUGUGAAACUCCUUCGACGAGUCGAGUAGUUUGGGAAUGCUGCUCUAAAUGGGAGGUAAAUCUCUUCUAAAGCUAAAUACCGGCCAGAGACCGAUAGCGCACAAGUAGAGUGAUCGAAAGAUGAAAAGCACCUUGAAAAGGGGGUUAAACAGUACGUGAAAUUGUUGAAAGGGAAGCGCUCAUGACCAGACUUGUGCCGGGCGGUUCAUCCGGGGUUCUCCCCGGUGCACUCCGCCCGGUUCAGGCCAGCAUCGGUUCUCGUUGGGGGAUAAGAACGGUAGGAACGUGGCCCUCCUUCGGGGGGGUGUUAUAGCCUGCCGUACGAUACCCUGACGGGGACCGAGGUUCGCGCUCCGCAAGGAUGCUGGCGUAAUGGUCAUCAGCGACCCGUCUUGAAACACGGACCAAGGAGUCGUCCAUUAGAGCGAGCGUUUGGGUGUAAAACCCGCACGCGUAAUGAAAGUGAAAUUAGGUGAGAGCUUCGGCGCAUCAUCGACCGAUCCUGAUGUUCUCGGAUGGAUUUGAGUAAGAGUUUUAACGGACGGACCCGAAAGACAGUGAACUAUGCUUGUAUAGGGUGAAGCCAGAGGAAACUCUGGUGGAGGCUCGCAGCGGUUCUGACGUGCAAAUCGAUCGUCAAAUAUGAGCAUGGGGGCGAAAGACUAAUCGAACUGUCUAGUAGCUGGUUACCGCCGA